rnacentral:lncRNA from 1 species
UGUCUCUCUUUAUUCUAACCUCUUACGUCCUAUCAUGGAGACAUGGAAAUUAGGAAAUUAAGAGAUAUAAACAAAGAUAGAGAUGAAAAGACUCCUUCAAGUUGCAGAGGUUCCUUUAAAAUCUUUUAAUGGGUAUCUCUGAGUCUUUAUUCACCUUACUUGGAAGUUUUUCUUCUUUUUUUCUUUGCGUUCUGUAGCCGAUCCAUACGACUUACCGUUGGUGAGCUCUACCCAUCAAAACUCUCCCUCUUUUGUAUCUCUGGUCUGUACUGUUUCAUGCUUGCUGAUGGAGUUUAUGGGAGGUUAUUUUUAGAUAUAUUCUUCUUCCUCCUUCCCCAGCGUAGAGAUUUGCGUAAUAUGUGAUCUAGUUUCCUUUGUUAUAAAGUUUUUUUUAGCU